UAAGCUGGCUCAGAGUUCCUCUUGGGAUU
rnacentral:piRNA from 1 species